rnacentral:rRNA from 1 species
CCGGGUGGGUAAUACAUCGGAACGUCGUUCCUAGUGGGGGAUAACUAGCCAAAGGGCGAGCUAAUACCGCAUGAGACCUGAGGGUGAAAGCGGGGGAGUCGCAAGACCUCGCGCUGGAAGAGCGGCCGAUGUCCGAUUAGCUAGUUGGUGAGGUAAAGGCUCACCAAGGCGACGAUCGGUAGCUGGUCUGAGAGGACGACCAGCCACACUGGGACUGAGACACGGCCCAG